AAAUUAUACGAAGGGACCCAACACAGAAAAUUCAUUUUAUUGAAUUUUACAUUUAUGUGCAAGUUGGGCAAAGUAUCUUAUUCUUUUAAAGUAUUUAAAAGUAAAAUUACAUGUUAAUACGUAGUAUUAAUGGCGAGACUCCUGAGGGAGCAGUGCCAGUCGAAGACAGGGGCCCCAACACAGAAGCUGACAUAUAGUCAGCUUACAGCAA
rnacentral:sRNA from 1 species